rnacentral:rRNA from 1 species
UAGGGAAUAUUAGAAAUGGACGAAAGUCUGAUCUAGCAACACCGCGUGUGCGAUGAAGGCCUUCGGGUUGUAAAGCACUUUUUGGAAGGAUUAGGAAGGAAUGUACUUCCAGAAUAAGUCUCGGCUAACUACGUGCCAGCAGCCGCGGUAACACGUAGGAGGCGAACGUUAUCCGGAUUUACUGGGCGUAAAGCGCGUGUAGGUGGUUCUGUAAGUAGGGCGUGAAAGCUCCUGGCUCAACUGGGAGAGGCCGUUCUAAACUGCAGAGCUAGAGGAUGGUAGAGGGAGGUGGAAUUCCGGGUGUAGCGGUGGAAUGCGCAGAUAUCCGGAGGAACACCAGUGGCGAAGGCGGCCUCCUGGACCAUUCCUGACACUCAGACGCGAAAGCUAGGGUAGCAAACGG